rnacentral:lncRNA from 1 species
GUUCUGGACAAAAUGCUCAGAAAUCUACAGGGAGAGAUGGAAAAGACCUUUUGCAAAGAGGCAGUGUGAAGAGCUUUGCAUAGAGAUAAUUUUUAACAAAGUAAAAAGAUGGACUUAUUUCAAAGACUUGCAAAUUAAUACUGGUUGUCUCCUGUCCCAAGUGCUAUACAAACAUAGAGAAAGAAAUGGUCCCCUCCCUGAAGGUCUUCCCUGAUGAUCUGAAACAAGAAGGAGCUGAUGGAGAUGUACUAAAAUAGGCCUUGCAGGUCAGUGAUGUUGGCUGGUAGGCUUGAUUGAACAAGCUAGAAAAAAUUGUCAUUGGCAGUACACAAAUUGCAGAGUUCUUUUCAGUGCCAGAUCAGAGCCAGAUCAGAGAUGUGUGCAGAAGCCAGGGAAGCCAACCUUUCUCACUGUAAACUAGGGCAACAGGUCUCACUCAUUCUGUUCUCAGGGCUAUGUAUGAGCUGCUAGACAAAGCCUAAAGGUUACCUCAUAGGGGCUACAAGAAAGGGUGCAGGCAAGACUGCACCCCAGAGAAUAAAAGGAAAGCCACCUGAGCCC